UACGUAGGGUGCAAGCGUUGUCCGGAAUUAUUGGGCGUAAAGGGCUCGUAGGCGGUCCAUCGCGUCGGGAGUGAAAAGCUGGGGCUUAACCCCAGUCCUGCUUCCUAUACGGGUGGACUAGAGGUAGGUAGGGGAGAACGGAAUUCCUGGUGUAGCGGUGAAAUGCGCAGAUAUCAGGAGGAACACCAGUGGUGAAGGCGACUCUUUGGCCUGUAACUGACGCUGAGGCGCGAAAGCGUGGGGAGCAAACAGG
rnacentral:rRNA from 1 species